rnacentral:RNase_P_RNA from 1 species
UGAGUAGCACAGAUGGUCGCGCCUAUAAGUACCGAAAGGUCAUAGGUGAGGAAAGUCCGAGCUUCAUAGGGCAGGGUGCCGGAUAACGUCCGGUGGAGGCGACUCCAAGGCUAGUGCAAUAGAAAUAUACCGCCAGUUAUACUGGUAAGGGUGGAAUGGUGGAGUAAGAGCCCACCGCCUUCUUGGUAACAAGAAGGGCAUAUGUAAACCCCACUCCGAAGCAAGACCGAAUUUAAAGCGAUACGGCUGCCCGUCGUGCUUUAGGGUAGGUCGCUAGAGCCUAAUGGCAACAUUAGGACCAGAUAGAUGAUCAUCUAAUACAGAACUCGGCUUAUAGUGUUGCUCAUAUU